rnacentral:misc_RNA from 1 species
AAGAAUUUACAGAGUGCACUUCAUUGUGGCUCGACAUUUUCUACCAUUCACCCUAGUGCACCGUAACACCUUUUUUUAUUAGACUCUACAAAGUUAUCGAAUGUAACACUUUUUUAUAAAGAAAUA